GACGAACGCUGGCGGCGUGCCUAAUACAUGCAAGUAGAACGCUGAAGAGAGGAGCUUGCUCUUCUUGGAUGAGUUGCGAACGGGUGAGUAACGCGUAGGUAACCUGCCUGGUAGCGGGGGAUAACUAUUGGAAACGAUAGCUAAUACCGCAUAAAAUUGCUUAUCGCAUGAUAAUUAAUUGAAAGAUGCAAUUGCAUCACUACCAGAUGGACCUGCGUUGUAUUAGCUAGUUGGUGAGGUAACGGCUCACCAAGGCGACGAUACAUAGCCGACCUGAGAGGGUGAUCGGCCACACUGGGACUGAGACACGGCCCAGACUCCUACGGGAGGCAGCAGUAGGGAAUCUUCGGCAAUGGGGGGAACCCUGACCGAGCAACGCCGCGUGAGUGAAGAAGGUUUUCGGAUCGUAAA
rnacentral:rRNA from 1 species